UACAUAUGGGCCGAGCGUUGUCCGGAUUUAUUGGGCGUAAAGAGCACGUAGGCGGUGAUCUAAGUCAGAAUUUAAAGGCAGAAGCUCAACUUCUGUAUGAUUCUGAAACUGGAUCGCUAGAGAUCUGAAGAGGAAAGUGGAAUUAGCAGUGUAGCGGUGAAAUGCGUAGAUAUUGCUAAGAACACCCGUGGCGAAGGCGGCUUUCUGGUCAGAAUCUGACGCUGAGGUGCGAAAGCGUGGGUAGCAAACAGGAUUAGAUACCCUAGUAGUCCACGCCGUAAACGAUGUACAUUAGGUAUAGGAGGUAUCGACCCCUUCUGUGCCGCAGCUAACGCAUUAAAUGUACCGCCUGGGGAGUACGGUCGCAAGACUAAA
rnacentral:rRNA from 1 species